ACCUGGUUGACUCAGUUGGUAGAGUAUGUGACUCUUGAUCUCGUGGUUAUGAGUUUGAGCCCCACAUUGGGUA
rnacentral:tRNA from 1 species